UACGGUAGGGGACGAGCGUUGUCCGGAAUUACUGGGCGUAAAGGGCGCGCAGGCUGUAGAUCAAGUCAGCUGUGAAAUGUCUGGGCUUAACCCGGGCAUGCGGUUGAAACUGAUGUACUGGAGUGCUGUAGAGGCAAGUGGAAUUCCCAGUGUAGCGGUGAAAUGCGUAGAUAUUGGGAAGAACACCGGUGGCGAAGGCGACUUGCUGGGCAGCAACUGACGCUGAGGCGCGAAAGCCAGGGGAGCAAACGGGAUUA
rnacentral:rRNA from 1 species